rnacentral:rRNA from 1 species
UACGAAGGUCCCAAGCGUUGUUCGGAAUCACUGGGCGUAAAGGGUGCGUAGGCGGUGUGGUAAGUCAGAUGUGAAAUCCCGGGGCUCAACCCCGGAACUGCAUCCGAUACUGCCACACUAGAGGACUGGAGAGGUGACUGGAAUUCUCGGUGUAGCAGUGAAAUGCGUAGAGAUCGAGAGGAACACUCGUGGCGUAAGCGAGUCACUGGACAGUAUCUGACGCUGAGGCACGAAGGCUAGGGUAGCGAAAGGG